GAUGAAUGUUGGCGGCGCGCCUAAUACAUGCAAGCUGAGCGACCGGACGAGAAGAUUGCCUUUCUGUUGUUAGCGGCGGCCGGGUGAGUAUUAUGUGGAUAAUUUACAUAUAAGAUUGGGUUAACUAUGGGAAUACGGAGCUAAUAACGGUUAAUAUUUAGAACUGUAUGGUUAAAAAGUGAAAGAUGGUCUUGCAGUUACUUAUAGAUGGAACCUCGCUGAUUUAGUUAUCUGGUAAGGUAACGGCAUACGAAGGCAACGAUGAAUAGCCGACCUGAGAGGAUGAUCGGCCACACUGUAUCUAAUACACAGACCAUACUCCUACGCGAGGCAGCAGUAGGGAAUCUUCCACAAUGAACUAAAGCCUGACGCAACAACGCCGCGUGAGUGAUGAAGGACUUCGGAUCAUAAAACUCUGUUAUUAGGGAAGAACAUAUGUGUAAGUAACUGGACACAUCUUGACGUUACCUAAUCAGAAAGCCACGGCUAACUACGAG
rnacentral:rRNA from 1 species